rnacentral:rRNA from 1 species
AGACAGCAGCAGCCGCGGUAAAACGGAGGGUGCAAGCGUUAUCCGGAUUUAUUGGGUUUAAAGGGUCCGUAGGCGGACUUAUAAGUCAGUGGUGAAAGCCUGUCGCUUAACGAUAGAACUGCCAUUGAUACUGUAAGUCUUGAGUAUAUUUGAGGUAGCUGGAAUAAGUAGUGUAGCGGUGAAAUGCAUAGAUAUUACUUAGAACACCAAUUGCGAAGGCAGGUUACCAAGAUAUAACUGACGCUGAGGGACGAAAGCGUGGGUAGCGAACAGGAUUAGAUACCCCUGUAGUCCCUGUCUCUUAUAC